rnacentral:tRNA from 1 species
GGGCGAUUGGCGCAGAGGUAGCGCGCUUCCUCGACACGGAAGAGGUCACUGGUUCGAUCCCAGUAUCGCCCACCA